GGCUCAGAACGAACGCUGGCGGCGUGGAUUAGGCAUGCAAGUCGAACGAGAAAGGGUUCGCAAGGACCCGAGUAAAGUGGCGAAAGGGUGAGUAGUACCUAGGUAACCUACCCUGAAGACGGGGACAACGUCUCUAACGGGACGCUAAUACCCGGUGUGUCGGCGACCCCGCAUGGGGAUGCCGGUAAAAGGUAGCCUCUGUUUACAAGCUUCCGCUUCAGGAGGGGCCUCGGGCCUAUCAUGGUAGUUGGCGGGGUAACGGCCCACCAAGCCGGGGACGGGUAGCCGGUCUGAGAGGAUGGUCGGCCACACUGGGACUGAGACACUGCCCAGACUCCUACGGGAGGCUGCAGUCGAGGAUCUUCUGCAAUGGGCGCAAGCCUGACAGAGCGACGCCGCGUGGGGGAGGAAGGCCUUCGGGUUGUAAACCCCUGUUGCCGGUUAAGAAUGGUGGGGUGCAAAUAGCGCUACCACUUGACAAAGGCCGGUGAGGAAGCCACGGCUAACUACGUGCCAGCAGCCGCGGUAAAACGUAGGUGGCGAGCGUUGUUCGGAAUCACUGGGCAUAAAGCGCGCGUAGGCGGCCAGGUCAGUCGGGUGUGAAAGCCCUCGGCUCAACCGAGGAACUGCGCUCGAUACUGCUUGGCUUGAGGUCCGGAGGGGAGAGUGGAAUUCCCGGUGGAGCGGUGAAAUGCGUAGAGAUCGGGAAGAACGCCGGCGGCGAAAGCGACUCUCUGGUCGGAAUCUGACGCUGAGGCGCGAAAGCUAGGGGAGCAAACGGGAUUAGAUACCCCGGUAGUCCUAGCCAUAAACGAUGGGUGCUAGGUAGUGGUCGUUCCUAUGCGGUCACUGCUGGAGCGAAUGUCUUAAGCACCCCGCCUGGGAAGUACGGCCGCAAGGC
rnacentral:rRNA from 1 species